GGACAACAGCGCCUUGGCCACCAGAAAGAUGUUGACCACGGCGCGGAUGGAGCCGGGCAGGUUAUCCGUGAUGACCUCCUUGGUCUCGUCGGCCCAGGUGAGGUAGGCGACGAGCGCGAAGAGGCCCUUGAGCACGCAGGCUGCGAUGUGCGUCCAGUUCAUCAUGCAGUGGAACUCGCUGGGCUGCUGCAUAUUGCCCUCCAGCGAAGGCAGGAAGAUCUGAGACGUGUAGCUGAACACGAUGAUGCCAAUGGAGAUGGGGAACUUCUUGACGUCGAUGUAGAACUUGACCUUCUCCCAGGCCCAGUCGCGCGCCCGCGAUAGACAGUAGGCUAUGACCAGGAUAUUGAUGACGAAGUGGGCCAGAGUGCACAGCAGACUGAACUUGGACACGGCCUUGAGGUUCUUAAGGAAGGCGCAAGGCAGCAGCACGGCCGUGGCGAUAAUGGACCAGGACUUCUGCGACACGGGCAGCCCCGGGAAGCUGUUGUACAUGAGGUUGCCACUCACCACCACGUACAGGAUGCACGUCAUCACCAGCUCGAUGAUCUGCGCUACGUUCACCACUCGGCCGCCCAGCGUUGGGAAGCGCGGGGCGCAGCAGGCGUUGGCUAUGGCCACGUACGAGUCCCGCACGCGCACCACCUCGCCGUCUUCAUUCUCCUCGUACAGGCACGCGAUGAGGAUCUUGCCGGUGUAGCAGCACACAACGGCGGCGAAGAUGAUGAGAAACAACCCCAGCUCUUCAGUUCCUGUCUCCUUCAAAU
rnacentral:lncRNA from 1 species